GGCAGCAGUGGGGAAUCUUGCACAAUGGAGGAAACUCUGAUGCAGCGAUGCCGCGUGAGUGAAGAAGGCCCUUGGGUUGUAAAGCUCUUUCGUCGGGGAAGAAAAUGACUGUACCCGAAUAAGAAGGUCCGGCUAACUUCGUGCCAGCAGCCGCGGUAAUACGAAGGGACCUAGCGUAGUUCGGAAUUACUGGGCUUAAAGAGUUCGUAGGUGGUUAAAAAAGUUAGUGGUGAAAUCCCAGAGCUUAACUCUGGAACUGCCAUUAAAACUUUUUAGCUAGAGUAUGAUAGAGGAAAGCAGAAUUUCUAGUGUAGAGGUGAAAUUCGUAGAUAUUAGAAAGAAUACCAAUUGCGAAGGCAGCUUUCUGGAUCAUUACUGACACUGAGGAACGAAAGUAUGGGUAGCGAAGAGGAUUAGAUACCCUCGUAGUCCAUGCCGUAAACGAUGUGUGUUAGACGUUGGAAAUUUAUUUUCAGUGUCGCAGGGAAACCGAUAAACACACCGCCUGGGGAGUACGACCGCAAGGUUAAAACUCAAAUGAAUUGACGGGGACCCGCACAAGUAGUGGAGCAUGUGGUUUAAUUCGAAGAUACGCGCAGAACCUUACCAACACUUGACAUGUUCGUCGCGACUCUAAGAGAUUAGAGUUUUCGGUUCGGCCGGACGAAACACAGGUGCUGCAUGGCUGUCGUCAGCUCGUGUCGUGAGAUGUUGGGUUAAGUCCCGCAACGAGCGCAACCCUCACUUUUAGUUGCCAUCAUUAAGUUGGGCACUCUGAAAGAACUGCCAGUGAUAAGCUGGAGGAAGGUGGGGAUGACGUCAAGUCCUCAUGG
rnacentral:rRNA from 1 species